GUAUGCUUUGCAAAGUAUAGGACAUAGGGAGAGUUCUCACAUUGUGUACCUAGGUAUGGACUGUGAGUGGUUUAGCGGGUCAGUCCCUGUAUGGUCAGCCGAUGCCCUGUCUGGAGGCUGCGGUUACAUGCCUGAAAGUUCCAUUGGUGAGCAUCCCUAGCUGCUUCUCGGUACCCUGUGUGUCCUCAGAAUUAUCCCAGCGUAGUCUGGAUGUGGUGCCCCCC